GCCUGGGUGGCUCAGUUGGUUAAGUGUCUGACUUCGGCUCAGGUCUUGAUCUCAUGGUUCGUGGGUUUGAGCCCCGCAUUGGGCU
rfam:Felis catus isolate Cinnamon breed Abyssinian chromosome B4, whole genome shotgun sequence.